rnacentral:rRNA from 1 species
UACGUAGGGCGCAAGCGUUGUCCGGAAUUAUUGGGCGUAAAGAGCUCGUAGGCGGCUUGUCGCGUCGGUUGUGAAAGCCCGGGGCUUAACCCCGGGUCUGCAGUCGAUACGGGCAGGCUAGAGUUCGGUAGGGGAGAUCGGAAUUCCUGGUGUAGCGGUGAAAUGCGCAGAUAUCAGGAGGAACGCCGGUGGCGAAGGCGUAUCUCUGGGCCGAUACUGACGCUGAGGAGCGAAAGCGUGGGGAGCGAACAGG